rnacentral:tRNA from 1 species
GCCGGGAUGGCGGAAUCGGUAGACGCAGCGGAUUCAAAAUCCGCCGCCCGUGAGGGUGUGGGGGUUCGAGUCCCCCUCCCGGCACCA